rnacentral:rRNA from 1 species
GACGAACGCUGGCGGCGUGCUUAACACAUGCAAGUCGAACGGAAAGGCGCUGCUUUUGUGGGGUGCUCGAGUGGCGAACGGGUGAGUAACACGUGAGUAACAUGCCCUUGACUUUGGGAUAACUUCAGGAAACUGGGGCUAAUACCGGAUAGGAGCUCCUGCUGCAUGGUGGGGGUUGGAGAGUUUCGGCGGUUGGGGAUGGACUCGCGGCUUAUCAGCUUGUUGGUGGGGUAGUGGCUUACCAAGGCUUUGACGGGUAGCCGGCCUGAGAGGGUGACCGGCCACAUUGGGACUGAGAUACGGCCCAGACUCCUACGGGAGGCAGCAGUGGGGAAUAUUGCACAAUGGGCGGAAGCCUGAUGCAGCAACGCCGCGUGCGUGAUGACGGCCUUCGGGUUGUAAACCGCUUUCGCCUGUGACGAAGCGUGAGUGACGGUAAUGGGUAAAGAAGCACCGGCUAACUACGUG